rnacentral:lncRNA from 1 species
UUAUUUAUUAGUAUCUUGAGACGACUCUAUGGCCUCCUUACCCAAAACCCUACCUCUCUUUCCCCCUAUUUAUAACCACCAUCCACCUCUCUCUUGCUUCACACUUCUCACUUUUCUGUAGAGGCGCUGCUAGGGUUUGCUUCUUCUUCCCUGUUCUAAUUUUAUUCAUCUCUGCUUAUAUUUCUUCCCAUCAUUAGUUUUUUAUGCUAUUGUUUUAUGUAAACAAUUCAAUUAGGGACGAUGAUGAUUUGUAGUGAAAGGUCUCGUUCGUCGUAAUUGGCUUUUUUGCCUUGCCGACCAUUCUGCUAUAUCACCACCCAUAUUCCGAGUCCCUUUUAUUUCCUAUCAAUAUUUCCUUUUUACUUUAUUUCAUGUCGUUUUGUUACUGUUAUUUAUCUUUUUUUCUUUCUAAAUUGUUGAUCUGCCUAUGAUUAAAUCUUAUAAAAGACAAGCAUAUGUCUGAAAUAACUCAUGUAGAUAAAUCUAAUCUUACUAUGAGGCCGAUUAUCUCUUUUUUAUUUGCAAAAUAUUUUUAUUUACUUAGAUUUUUUGAAAAUUUCUUUAUUUGAGAGGUCAAUUUGAUUUACGUUGCUUUGUUCUGUUUUUAUUUUUUGGCGAAUUUUUCAUCUAGUCAAACAAUAGUUGAUGUAGAAGGGUAAAAUGAUGAUUUUAAAUGCAUAGUUCAGAUGAUUUAUCUGUGAUUAUUAAUAUUAAAUAGUCUUUCGCUCCUAUCUGAUGAACCCUUCAUAUAUUCUAAAUUACUCUUUGAACUUCUUUUCUAAUCAUUCUAUAGUUAUGUUUGAUCGUUUUUUCAAUGUUCUGUUCUAUUCUUUUUAAUAAUUAAAUCGUUGUGUAUUUAAUUUGUACCAUUGGGAUGUUUGGGACUUUUCUUAUGUCCCUUUAGCAAUGUCUGUGUGCUUUUGGAAUGAAUAAGUCCCUUAUAUUUAUUCACCUGAUCACUUUGUCAGCUUUGUUUUUUCAAUAUAUUGCUGAUCAUUAUAGGGUGGAAUAUAUAUUAUAUAUUAUUUUCAGAUAUUAGGUAUUUAUCUGUGUUGUGUUAUUGUUAAUGGCCAAUGAUGAUAAGAUAAAGGCUUGUUUCUCAAAACAUUCGCAGUGGCCGACCAAGAGCUUUCGCCUUCGCCAGGCUUGAGAGCUAAUGCUGUUUUAUCCUUCCUUGGAUGUCUGAGGCCAAACGUAACUUGUUUCUAUUUUUUUUUGUGUAAAUCUGAUUUUAAUUUUCAGGUUUUGGAAGAGCUUUUUUAUUGCCUGAGCUUGAUUAUCCAAGGAAGACUCAUGCGUGAUAAACGGCAAACAAGCUUUGUUUUCAAGCGGAACAAUUGAUUUUGUUUAGGUUUGAAGUGCAGUAGUUUUAGUCUGUAAUGCAGUUAGACUUGAGAAUUGCCUAAAGGGACCACAAAAAUUAACAUCUUUUCCAACUGAAUUUUCAUUCUGUUUGAAAUUCUUGAGAUAUGUGAGGGUUUUAUCCUAUGCUUUUCAGAAACAAAACUCUUAUUAUAGGAUUUUUAUCCCAAAUUGUUAACUUUUUUUGUUGCUAUUAUCACUUAGCAAUAUUAUGUCAUUGAUGAAUGUUGUAGGUUAGUUUUUAAGGUUAGGAACUGGAAUGCCAAACUUAAGAGUGUGAUAUCCUUUCCCCAGCAAUAAUGAGGAUGCUAUUCUACAUGAUGCUAUGCAAAUGUUAUUCAUAUCUAAGUUUUAUGAUAACCAACUACUAACUAGACGC